CCUGAGCUCAUCGCUGCGCGACGCCGUCGCUCCGAGGCUCGCGUCACAAGUGCGGCGGCCGUGCAGCCGGCAGGACGGCGAACCCUCUGGCCUAUAGCCUCCAUCCUCGUUUAAGGACAUGACCAACCAGUACAGUAUUCUCUUCAAACAAGAGCAAGCCCAUGAUGAUGCCAUUUGGUCAGUUGCCUGGGGGACAAACAAGAAAGAAAACUCUGAGACAGUGGUCACGGGAUCCCUGGAUGACCUGGUGAAGGUCUGGAAAUGGUCUGAUGAGAGGCUGGACCUACAGUGGAGUCUGGAGGGACACCAACUGGGUGUGGUGUCCGUGGACAUCAGCCACACCCUGCCCAUUGCUGCCUCCAGUUCUCUUGAUGCUCAUAUUCGUCUCUGGGACUUGGAAAACGGCAAACAGAUAAAGUCUAUAGAUGCAGGACCCGUGGAUGCCUGGACUUUGGCCUUUUCUCCUGAUUCCCAGUAUCUGGCCACAGGAACUCAUGUGGGGAAAGUGAACAUUUUUGGUGUGGAAAGCGGGAAAAAGGAAUAUUCUUUGGACACAAGAGGAAAAUUCAUUCUUAGUAUUGCAUAUAGCCCUGACGGGAAGUAUCUGGCCAGUGGAGCCAUAGACGGGAUCAUCAAUAUUUUUGAUAUUGCAACUGGAAAACUCCUGCACACGCUGGAAGGCCAUGCCAUGCCCAUCCGCUCCCUGACCUUCUCCCCGGAUUCGCAGCUCCUUGUCACUGCUUCAGAUGAUGGCUACAUCAAGAUCUAUGACGUGGGUCGUCUUGCUUGCGUCCUACUCUCUGCCAUGGGGGAACGUCACACAUUUUGUGCUCGUGUUCCUGUAAGACUUCGUUUCAUCUCCAGUUUGUUGGACGCUUUCCCGUUUCAGACAACACGCCAAUCUGGCCGGCACGCUGAGUGGCCACGCAUCGUGGGUGUUGAACGUUGCCUUUUGUCCCGACGACACUCACUUCGUUUCCAGUUCAUCUGACAAAAGUGUGAAAGUUUGGGAUGUUGGAACAAGAACGUGUGUCCACACCUUCUUUGACCACCAGGAUCAGGUCUGGGGAGUAAAAUACAAUGGAAAUGGCUCAAAAAUUGUGUCCGUGGGCGAUGACCAGGAAAUUCACGUCUACGAUUGCCCCGUGUAAACACCAGAGUCUCACAGGCUGGUGUGUAGGUCAUGACAUUCCUUGCCUUUCUAGCAUUUAUUGGAGCGGAAACAAAUUUUGUAGAUACGGGAUCAAUCUUUUCAUGUUCUGUUAUUGGAAAUGCUGUUCAUACUUGAACAUAAAGUGUUCAUAACACCAA